rfam:Triticum aestivum genome assembly, contig: Triticum_aestivum_CS42_TGACv1_scaffold_526785_6DL
UAUAUACUCCCUCCGUUCCAAAUUACUCGUCGCAGAAAUGGAUGUAUAUCUACAUCCAUUUCUGCGACGGGUAAUUUGGAACGGAGGGAGUAGUAG